GAUGAACGCUGGCGGCGUGCCUAAUACAUGCAAGUCGAGCGAACAGACGAGGAGCUUGCUCCUCUGACGUUAGCGGCGGACGGGUGAGUAACACGUGGAUAACCUACCUAUAAGACUGGUAUAACUUCGGGAAACCGGAGCAAAUACCGGAUAAUAUACUGAACCGCAUGGUGCAAUAGUGAAAGACGGUUUUGCUGUCUCGUAUAGCUGGAUCCGCGCCGCAUUAGCUAGUUGGUACGGUAACGGCUUACCAAGGCUACGAUGCGUGGCCGACCUGAGAGGGGGGUAGGCCGCACUGGAACGUAGACACGGACCAGACGCCUGCGAGACGCAGCAGUAGGGAAUCGGCCGCAAUGGGCGAGAGCCUGACGGAGCAACGCCGCGUGAGUGAUGAAGGUCUUCGGAUCGUAAUACUCUGUUAUUAGGGAAGAACAAAUGUGUAAGUAACUGUGCACGUCUUGACGGUACCUAAUCAGAAAGCCACGGCUAACUACGUG
rnacentral:rRNA from 1 species